AUACAGUGGUGUCAAACAGAUACUCUUUUGGUAUUAUGAAACCAAAGUCAAAGAAGUCUUCUUCUGUACCUGAAGCUGCCCUUAUUCCUUUAAUGUGUUCUACCCUGGAGUAACAUAGCAUCAAACUGAGAGAUAGUUCCUUAGCAUCCAGGGAGUUUGUGCUGUGUUAUGUGUGUGUGUGUGUGUAUACAUUUAUAUAUCAGUGUGUUUACAAUUAAUGUGAAUUUUAUAUGUGUAUAUAAUGUAUGUACAUAGUAUACAUACUAUAUGUAACCCCAAUUUCCCUCUCCAACUUCAGUCCUGUCCCCCAAACAUGCCUGCUUCUAACUUCAUAUCUUUUUUUGUAACUCUAUUCGUCCAAUUAUUGGUCCCUAUAGGAAACCUACUCAAGACCUUGCUAUACCACUCCUGGGCAUAUACCCAAAAGAUGCUCCAACAUAUAACAAGGACACAUGCUCCACUAUAUUUAUAGCCACUUUAUUUAUAAUAGCCAGAAAUUGGAAACAACCCAGAUGUCCCUCAACUGAAGAAUGGAUACAGAAAAUGUGGUAGAUCUACACAAUGGAAUACUAUUCAGAUAUUAAAAACAAGGAUAUCAUGAAUUUUGCAGGCAAAUGGAUGGAACUCGAGAAUAUCAUCCUGAGUGAGGUAGGCCAGACCCAAAACCAUAGAGUACAGGUACCGUGCUGCAUUCCACAGACGUAAAGACGCUAAACAUGAAGAAAGGCCCAAGCCAGGAAGCUUGAAUCUCACUUAAAAGGGGUAAUAAAAUAGUCAUCAGAGGCAGAUGGAGAGAGGGAACUGGGAGGAAGGAGGAUAGGGAGGGGAACAGGGAGGUCAGGAUCAGGUGUGGGGAGGGACAGGAGAAAUGGCCAUGAGAAUGAAUGGAAAUCUGCAACUGACAGGGGUGAGGAGCUAGGGGGCAUCUCUAGGACAUAACAGAGACCUGGGAUAAGGAGGUCCCUAAGUAUCAAUGAUGGUGACCUUAGUGUAACUCACCGCAUUGGGGAUAUGGAACCUGAAGAAGCCGCCUUUUGUAGCCAGUCAGGAACUCUUACAGAGUGAUUGGGACACCAACCCACCAACAAAACUUUUAACCCAAAAUCUAUCAUGUCUACAAGAAAUGCAGGGACAGGGGAUGGAACAGAGACUGAGGGAAUGGCUAACCAAUAACUGACCCUUCAAUAACUGAUUGAGACAAGCACCAAUCUCUGACACUAUUAAUAAUACUGUUAUGCUUGCAGAUAGGAGUCAAGCAUGGCUGUCCUAUGAGAAGCUCCACCCAGCAGCUGACUCAUAGGGAUGCAGAGACCCACAGUCAUACAGUGGAUGGAGCUUGGGGACUCUUAUGAAGAAUAGGAGGAAGGACUGAGGACCUGAAGGGGAUAAGAACUGCACAGGAAGACCAACAGAGUCAACUAACCUGGACCUUUGAGGGCUCUCAGAGAUUGAACCAUACACAGAGAAGAAUAUACACGGGCUGCACCUAAGCCUCCCCACACAUAUGUAGCAGAUGUGCAGCUUGGUCUUCAUGUGGGUCCUGAACAACUGGAGCAGGGACUAUCCCAAGAGCUGUUGCCUGUAUGUAGGCUAUGGUCUUAGCUGAGCUGCCUUGUCUGGCCUUGGUGGGAGAGGAAGUGCCUAACCCUGCAGAGACUUGAUGUGCCAGGGUGGGGGGAUACUCAGAGACCCCCCCACCCACUCAGAGGUGAAGGGGAGGGGAGGGGAGAGGGAAGGAUUGUGGGAAGGAUCAGUGAGCGGUAUGCAAAGUGAAUUCAAAGAAAUUAUAAAAAUUGAAUAUUUAUCAAUCUCAGCUGCAGAGAAGAGUGGCAUAAAGUGUAUAGGACUGGAGUGUACUCAGUGUGUUUACUGAGAUGGCACACUGUUUAGCAUGCUAGAGACUGCCAUUUUAAACUAGUAUGCAUCUUCCUCAGAUUUAUCUGAGAUUAUGAAUCUAUUUAGGACUAUUGUGUUUUGACUGCUCUGGUUGGCUUAUAUAUUUUAUUAUCUCUUCACAUAGAAUUGUUGAUUUCAAAGAUAGCAGUGAGGGUCUAAUGGAAAUCUGCCAUGCAGACCAUCUAAGUCACUUACUCUUCAAUCUUGCUUCAAUUUAACGAGCAUCAGUCAAGCCAAGAUCUCAGCUAUCAGUAGCUUUUCUUUAAGGGGCAGGCCCUGAGGAGCAUCCUUCCCGGAGUCUGCACAGUAUUGGGAAGGUACACACAGCUUCUGUCGGUUCAUG
rnacentral:lncRNA from 1 species